UACGGAGGGGGCUAGCGUUGUUCGGAAUUACUGGGCGUAAAGCGCACGUAGGCGGCUUUGCAAGUUAGAGGUGAAAGCCCAGGGCUCAACCCUGGAAUUGCCUUUAAGACUGCAUCGCUAGAAUCGUGGAGAGGUGAGUGGAAUUCCGAGUGUAGAGGUGAAAUUCGUAGAUAUUCGGAAGAACACCAGUGGCGAAGGCGACUCACUGGACACGUAUUGACGCUGAGGUGCGAAAGCGUGGGGAGCAAACAGG
rnacentral:rRNA from 1 species